GACGAACGCUGGCGGCGUGCUUAACACAUGCAAGUCGAACGGAAAGGCCCUGCUUUUGUGGGGUGCUCGAGUGGCGAACGGGUGAGUAACACGUGAGUAACCUGCCCUUGACUUUGGGAUAACUUCAGGAAACUGGGGCUAAUACCGGAUAGGAGCUCCUGCUGCAUGGUGGGGGUUGGAAAGUUUCGGCGGUUGGGGAUGGAUUCGCGGCUUAUCAGCUUGUUGGUGGGGUAGUGGCUUACCAAGGCUUUGACGGGUAGCCGGCCUGGGAGGGUGACCGGCCACAUUGGGACUGAGAUACGGCCCAGACUCCUACGGGAGGCAGCAGUGGGGAAUAUUGCACAAUGGGCGGAAGCCUGAUGCAGCAACGCCGCGUGCGGGAUGACGGCCUUCGGGUUGUAAACCGCUUUCGCCUGUGACGAAGCGUGAGUGACGGUAAUGGGUAAAGAAGCACCGGCUAACUACGUG
rnacentral:rRNA from 1 species